AUUGAACGCUGGCGGCAUGCCUUACACAUGCAAGUCGAACGGUAACGGGCCUUCGGGUGCCGACGAGUGGCGAACGGGUGAGUAAUGUAUCGGAACGUACCUUUCAGUGGGGGAUAACGUAGCGAAAGUUACGCUAAUACCGCAUAUUCUGUGCGCAGGAAAGCAGGGGACCUUCGGGCCUUGCGCUGAUUGAGCGGCCGAUAUCAGAUUAGCUAGUUGGUGAGGUAAAGGCUCACCAAGGCGACGAUCUGUAGCGGGUCUGAGAGGAUGAUCCGCCACACUGGAACGGAGACACGGUCCAGACUCCUACGGGAGGCAGCAGUGGGGAAUUUUGGACAAUGGGGGCAACCCUGAUCCAGCCAUGCCGCGUGAGUGAAGAAGGCCUUCGGGUUGUAAAGCUCUUUCGGCCGGGAAGAAAUCGUAUCAGCUAAUACCUGGUGCGGAUGACGGUACCGGCAUAAGAAGCACCGGCUAACUACGUGCCAGCCGCCGCGGUAAGAC
rnacentral:rRNA from 1 species